CUACGGGUUGCAGCAGUCGAGAAUCUUCCGCAAUGGGCGCAAGCCUGACGGAGCAAUGCCGCGUGAGGGAUGACGGCCCUAGGGUUGUAAACCUCUGUCAGAAGGGACGAAGAACGUGACGGUACCUUCAGAGGAAGCCAUGGCUAACUACGUGCCAGCAGCCGCGGUAAUACGUAGAUGGCGAGCGUUAUUCGGAUUUACUGGGCGUAAAGGGUCCGUAGGGGGUCUGCCAAGUCUGAUGUGAAAUCCUGCGGCUCAACCGCGGAACUGCAUUGGAAACUGGCGGACUAGAGUGUGCGAGGGGUGAGCGGAAUUCCUGGUGUAGCGGUGGAAUGCGUAGAUAUCAGGAAGAACACCGAUGGCGAAGGCGGCUCACUGGCGCAUCACUGACCCUGAGGGACGAAAGCGUGGGUAGCAAACAGGAUUAGAUACCCUAGUAGUC
rnacentral:rRNA from 1 species